GGCAUUCAGAGCGACCUUCUCCUUCCCCAGACCCGAGCUGGACCAGAGGGAGGAGAUUCUGGCCCUCAGCCACAGCCUGCCCUGUCAUUCACACGUCCAAGUUCAGAGCUGACCUCCAAGAGCAUCUCCCCUCCCAGUCGCCCCUGGAAGGCCAUGCGUUCCAGCAGCAAGGGGAGCUGGGAAAUCUACAGGACGCUCACCCCCACCCCUAGCCGUCCCCUUCAGGGAAGUGAGGAAUCAUCCGGUGGAAAGGUCCUUUGAGAAUUUCAAGUUCCAAUGCCCCAUUUUUACAGAUGGGGAAACUGCGGCGGGGAGAGGGGAGUGAUUUGCCCAAAGUCACACGGUACGUGGCGGCAGAGUUGGGAUUUAGAGCAAAGCUUCCUGGAUCCUUGUAAAGGACUCUAUUCCAAUUAGCUUAAGCUCAAUUUCUAACCCUUUUGUAGGAACCAUGGGAAAAUAUAGAUAGAUAUCUGUAUUUAUAUUAUAUAUAUAAUACACAUAUUUAUAACGUCUUUAAGAAAUAGACACACAUCACUAGGUGCAGGAUUCCAGAGCACUGUAGACUCAUCAGCCUUGGGCCUCUCCUCUCUGCCCAACAAGCAGCCCUGUUAUCCACAGGGUCUCGUCUGGGUCCUCCCUUUCUCGGUCAGCCCAGAAAUGCUGUCUAUCAAAUCCCGAGUCCACUUCCUAGAAUGGCCAAGUUCUAGGAGCUGACUAGAACUUUCCAGGUUUUAAUAAUGGACAACUCUGGCUCCCCAGAGCUUUGAUUCCCUUUGGCAUUAACAGAACCACAAAGAAUCAUCAAGAUUCUCAACUCCAUUGGGCAAACUGGAACCAACAAAUCUCAGACAUCCAGAAUCGCCACUCCUUCCUUGACUCUGUGAUCAACCUAGAGACACAGAAUCCUGAUUCCUUUGGACAUUCUAGAAUGGCACUUAAAAAACAAAAAA
rnacentral:lncRNA from 1 species